rnacentral:rRNA from 1 species
GAUGAACGCUAGCGGCAGGCUUAACACAUGCAAGUCGAGGGGUAACAGGGAGAAGCUUGCUUUUCUGCUGACGACCGGCGCACGGGUGCGUAACGCGUAUAGAAUCUACCUUGUACAGAGGGAUAGCCCAGAGAAAUUUGGAUUAAUACCUCAUAGUGUUUUUGAAUGGCAUCAUUUAAGAACUAAACAUUUAUGGGUACAAGAUGACUAUGCGUCCUAUUAGUUAGUUGGUAAGGUAACGGCUUACCAAGACAUCGAUAGGUAGGGGUCCUGAGAGGGAGAUCCCCCACACUGGUACUGAGACACGGACCAGACUCCUACGGGAGGCAGCAGUGAGGAAUAUUGGACAAUGGAGGCAACUCUGAUCCAGCCAUGCCGCGUGAAGGAAGACUGCCCUAUGGGUUGUAAACUUCUUUUAUAUAGGAAGAAACACUUCUACGUGUAGAAGCUUGACGGUACUAUAUGAAUAAGGACCGGCUAACUCCG